rnacentral:misc_RNA from 1 species
AAACUGCGAAAAGUAAUGUGACCUGCAAUCUUCGUGAAUCAUCCAAUCUUUGAACGCAAUUUGCACCUCGUUGCCUCGGUAACAAGGUAUACUUGUUUGAGUAUCACAAACAACCUCACCUUCCCUUUGGGCUAGCUGGUGGAUAUGAGUGAUCAACGCCAGUUACAGACUACUUUGUCUGUGAAAUGGCUUUGUCGCUUUAAAUGAAGUAGACUCUGAAAGUCUCAGCGUUGAGAUGACUAUUGGGAUAACAUCCUAACAAUAGACAUUGCUUUGACUUUGGUUUUUGUGCCACGGUGCAAAAAGAGAGCCUCAAAUGAAAGUCCUGCAUGUUGGGUUUUACCGGCACGCGGAUGGACAACUCGUAUGUGAUGUUGAUCUCAAAUCAAGUAGGGAUACC